rnacentral:rRNA from 1 species
AAUACGGAGGGGGCGAGCGUUAUUCGGAAUUAUUGGGCGUAAAGGGCGCGUAGGCGGCUUGAUAAGUCAAAGGUGAAAUCCCUCGGCUCAACUGAGGAACUGCCUUUGAAACUGUCGGGCUUGAGGCCGGGAGGGGGUAGCGGAAUUCCCAGUGUAGCGGUGAAAUGCGUAGAUACUGGGAGGAACACCGGUGGCGAAGGCGGCUACCUGGACCGGUUCUGACGCUGAGGCGCGAAAGCGUGGGUAGCAAACAGGA